CUCUCCCUCUCUCUCCCUCUCUCCCUCUCUCCGUCUCUCUCUCUCCCUCACGUAGUGGGGGCAGGUGUCUCUGAAUCGCCCAUGUGCCUAGACAUAAAGUGAAGCUUCCCUCUGAGCAUUGGGUUCUGUACCCUCCCUGCUCUGCGGCUGCUGGAAGGUGUACCUGGGGGCAAAGGUGGUUAUUGGAGCUGAAAUCUGAUCCUGGUUUUGUGUAUUUUGUUAAGAGCCUAGAGUCACAGCCUAUCCUAGUUCGAGCAAGUUCUCAGCAGGGCCUCUUCUCCUGCGUGUACCCUCAGCCUCUGCUAGGACCGGGCCUCCCUUCCGGGGGUUUGCAUGUGUGCCGGCCUCCCCUGCUGGGCCCGCUGCCCCUGCCCACCUUCCUGCUGCGAUUCCCGCCCGAGACGAGUGGGGCAGUCGCCCUGGACAGCCGCCUCUCUCUGCCCUUCCCCGGGCUCCUCGGCUCAGGGCCCGGGGACGGGCAGAACUUUGACCCCAGAGGCCCUUCCUAUAUAUUUUCCCUAAAUUGCCCAUUGGUUGUUUCUUUUCAAAUGUAGGUUUGUUGGUGGAAAGUCUCAGAAUCUUGUCCGCUCACCUUCUUCCCUAAGACUUUGUUUCGAAGGCAUAGGAGGAGCGUUGCUGGUUACUGUACUUCUCUGGCCGGACGUCACUUUUAAGAAGAUCAUGGAGUGAAAGUACUGUCUUUCCCUCUUUGGAUGUUGUUACUGGGCCUUUGAACUGGUUUCUACACGUGGACUACUGGUUAGGUUUUGCAGGCGGAUGGUUCUGGGGUCUGGCUGUGUUUGGAGGAGGCCCCUUUAUGUAUGUUAAAUAAUUUAAAAUUUAAAAGCAAUUUCUGUGACUAUCCGUUCCUAGGCUUCCUCUUAGGGAAGGUCCCGACAGCAUUCAGUGCGCUCGACCACUGCCUUCCCCAGACCCUCCCCCGUGGCGUCCGCCCCCCUGGACACUCAGUCGCCUUGGCUGUCCCCUCUCGGCCCCUGACCUCAGCCCUUCUUUCCUCUCCUCCCCUCUAGAUGCUGAUGGACGCCCUGCAGGACGGCUCAUGGCGUUUCUAGGGGAUUCCUGGUCCACCCACAGCCAGGCCCCAGCACUCCUUCCAGCUGCCCAGCUUUUCCUUGAAAUGCAGAGAAAGAGGCUCUUACGUCUUCCUCCGGUGUCGCUGAAUCCCAGCUGGCGGGUGCCUGAUAUGUGAUGCUGAACGGUGACAGUGACCUUGGCCCGCGGGGAAAGCCCGAGCUUGAGAGGCACUUAGGCGCAAGGGACCCAGGGUGAUUGUGUCCCCCAGGUAAGGAAGCAGACGAAUGUGUCCUGUGUGUCAUGUAUGAGCACAGAUCCCAUACUCCCCGCAAAGCUAAAUCAUUAUUCGUGAAGCGCUUGCAUCGGGAAGACGCUCAGGGCACAUGUGUAUUAUUCCAGCUGGACGGAACGCACAGAGACAGGACUGAAACUGGAGGGAGAUAGUUGCGUGCUGUCUUUCUCUGAUGAGCUUUCAUGAGUAGACAGGCGAGGACGAUACAAAGCCCUGAAUCAUCGCAUGACGACACCGGGCCGACAGGCAGAGCUGGUUUGCUGCAGGCCCGGAGAGUCCUCUGGGCUGAGAUGUAGUCCUCAGUGUUUCUGGUUGUCAUCUUCCUUGUCUUUUUUUUUCUUUUAAAUUAAUUAUUUGUUUAUUUAACCUC